UUAGGAAUAUUGGACAAUGGACGCAAGUCUGAUCCAGCCAUGCCGCGUGAGUGAUGAAGGCCUUCGGGUUGUAAAGCUCUUUAGUCCACGAUUAUAAUGACUGUAGUGGAAGAAUAAGCCCCGGCUAACUUCGUGCCAGCAGCCGCGGUAAUACGAAGGGGGCGAGCGUUAUUCGGAAUCACUGGGCGUAAAGCGUGCGUAGGCGGCCAUAUAAGUUGGGAGUGAAAUCCCGGAGCUCAACUUCGGAAUUGCUUUCAAAACUAUAUGGCUAGAAAUCGGGAGAGGAUAGCGGAAUUUCCAGUGUAGUAGUGAAAUACGUAGAUAUUGGAAGGAACACCAGUGGCGUAAGCGGCUAUCUGGACCGACAUUGACGCUGAGGCACGAAAGCGUGGGGAUCAAA
rnacentral:rRNA from 1 species